ACUUCUCCAGUGCUCAUCUCAUCAUUCACAGCUUGCAAUAUGCAAUUUGCAUGCUCACACACUCACAACCUCACUUCACUCUCUCAUCUCAAUUCAAUUCAACUCAACACGACACAGAACAGAACACAACAAACAAAACAACCACUAACUAACACCGCAGACCACCGUCCAAUUCUCAAUCCGGCAACACUGCUCAACACAAUGCGUUCUCGAUCUCACCAUGGAAUUUCGAUUACCCAAAAUGCCCUCGCCCUGCUUUAUUUAUUCUGCAUCCUCACCAACCCACCUGCGUCCACGGCUCUCAACUUCACCGCGCUGCUCUCCACCGUCCCGGACCUCUCCCAAUUCACCGCGCUCCUCGCCUCCGCGACGCCUAUAACGGCGGAUCUCUCCGACCGCUCCUCCCUCUCCAUCCUCGCCGUCCCCAACGCCUUUCUCGCCGCCGAUGACCACCUCGCCCGCCACCACCUCUCCCCCGCCGCCCUUGCUGAUGUCCUACGCUACCACGUCCUCCUCCAGUUCCUCUCCUGGUCUGACCUCCGCGCCCUCCCCUCCUCCGGGAAACUCGUCACCACGCUCCUCCAGACAACCGGACGCGCUACCGACAACUUCGGCUCCGUGAACCUCACGCGCGACCCCCAAUCCGGCCUCGUCUCGAUCCGCUCCCCCGCCCCUUACUCCCCCUCAAACGUCACCGUUUUGUCCCUCGUCAAAACCCUACCCUACAAUGUCACCAUCUUCGCCGUCAAUUCCCUCCUCAUUCCCUACGGCCUCGACCUCAUGGCGUCCGAAACCCGCCCCAACAUCGUCCUCAACAUCACCAAAGCUCUAAUCGACGGCCACAACUUCAACGUCGCCGCCUCAAUGCUCGCGGCCUCCGGCGUAGUUCAGGAAUUUGAGGCUGAUGAGGGUGGUGCUGGAAUCACUCUUUUCGUACCGGUGGAUGAUGCCUUUGCUGAUCUUCCACCCUCUGUGGCCCUUCAGUCUCUACCUGCAGAUAAAAAAGGGGUGGUUCUUAAAUUCCAUGUCCUCCAUUCCUAUUACCCUCUUGGCUCGCUUGAAUCGGUUGUUAACCCCUUCCAACCCACCCUCGCCACUGAGGCCAUGGGUGCUGGUAGUUUCACACUCAACAUUUCGCGUGUGAAUGGCUCUGUUGCCAUCAACACCGGCAUUGUACAGGCCUCAGUCACGCAGACCGUCUUUGAUCAGAACCCUGUUGCCAUUUUUGGGGUUUCCAAGGUUCUCUUGCCGAGGGAGAUUUUUGGCAGGAAUCCUACUGUCACUGCCAAGCCUAUUGAAGGUGCUCCUCCGCCAGAUGAGGAUGCGCUGUCACCAGAGAAUUCGCCGGGAUUAGAUGGACAGCCCUCGCAUCUAUCAUCACCGCCGGGGUUUCGCGAAGAUGUGCGGUCACAUGGUGGUGGAGUUUGUGGUGGUUGCUUCUUACUGUUAUCUUACACCUAGAUGACCGUCAGAGAAGGGAGGAAAGCUGACAAAGCAGUUACAGCAUUAAUUAUGUGUGGACUUCAACCCUUUCAAUGCAGUUCAUACGUGCUCUUCAAAAAAUACUGAUGGGCCCAAUCCUCGAUCUAAGAGAAAAAUACUGGUCCCCUGGUUGCGGCUUGGAACAUGGACGUUCGUGAUCAGUAGCUGGACUUGUCUCGGGAGUGCACCUGGGCCCUUGCUGGCUGGCUCGGCUAUAUGCAUUGGUGAGGUAACUGUAAACUCACUCCAGUAUCCAAGACAAACCAUGCAGUAAGAUACAAUGUUUAGAUUAAAAAGCUAACAAAUUACGUGAUAUCUUGCGGAGAGGGAAGCGAUAAUGAUUGCAACACAUGUUCAUUGUGCUAUGUCUCGAUAAUAAGGUAAUCUAGAAUGUGACUUAUGGAAUUUGGCUUUAAAUUUCGUGUUGAUCCUCUUUGAAAUUCAACUGAGUUGGUUCUAGUCGAAGGUCUGCACAGUCA